rnacentral:tRNA from 3 species
GGGGGGAUUCCCGAGCGGUCAAAGGGGUCAGACUGUAAAUCUGAUGGCUACGCCUUCACAGGUUCGAAUCCUGUUCCCCCCA